rnacentral:rRNA from 1 species
UACGUAGGUGGCGAGCGUUGUCCGGAUUUACUGGGCGUAAAGCGCGCGCAGGCGGUUCUGUAAGUCCUGGGUGAAAUCGCCCGGCUCAACUGGGCGGGGGCCUGGGGGACUGCGGGACUGGAGGGGCCUAGAGGCCGGUGGAACUCCCGGUGUAGUGGUGAAAUGCGUAGAGAUCGGGAAGAACACCAGUGGCGAAGGCGGCCGGCUGGGGGGGCCCUGACGCUGAGGCGCGAGAGCGUGGGGAGCGAACAGG